GGGCGAAAGCCUGACGGAGCAACGCCGCGUGAGUGAUGAAGGUCUUCGGAUCGUAAAACUCUGUUAUUAGGGAAGAACAUACGUGUAAGUAACUAUGCACGUCUUGACGGUACCUAAUCAGAAAGCCACGGCWUAACUACGUGCCAGCAGCCGCGGUAAUACGUAGGWRRMAARNGUUAUCCGGAAUUAUUGGGCGUAAAGCACGCGUAGGCGGUUUUUUAAGUCUGAUGUGAAAGCCCACGGCUCAACCGUGGAGGGUCAUUGGAAACUGUAAAACUUGAGUGCAGAAGAGGAAAGUGGAAUUCCAUGUGUAGCGGUGAAAUGCGCAGAGAUAUGGAGGAACACC
rnacentral:rRNA from 1 species